CUAUUUGACUAACCUUCCAGUCGAGAAACAACGGGAGCAUAGUACACUGAAGGGGCGGAGCUUCAGGCUAGAACAGGAAGUAUCUGAUCUGAGAUGCAGUUUCGGCUUCUCUAUUAGAAAAAGGUUUGCUCAUUUUUUAAGACGUUAUUGGCCAGAAGUAUAUGGUGUGCUGAGUUUAAUCUGAAUGUUUACAAGAUUCGUUAUUUCACAAGACUUUAAAGACUCCCUGAUUUAAUCUUGCAAUGCCAAAGUGUAUUGUAAAAAAUUGUCCAAACUGGACUGGAAAAAAAGGAGCACAAGGUGUCAUUCUACAUGGAUUUCCAAAUAAUAUUCAUAUUAUAAAACAAUGGCUUAUUCAGACAAAGCAAAAUUUUGGGGACAUUGAGGAAUUCACAAAAAAAGUUCUGGAAGGAAAAAGAACCGAGCUCUACAGGCUCUGUUCUAAACAUUUUACUACUGACUGCUAUGAGAUAAGAGGCACAAAGAAACUAUUAAAGUAUGGUGCUAUCCCUACAGUGUUUGAAGAGUUCAACACUUCAUUGGAGCCACCAUCAAAAAAAUCAAGGACUACAACUAUCAUGAGAGAUUGUCAGACACAGACUGACUCCCAGAUUAAAGCUUUAACUGUUACUUCAAGAAAUGCGGCUUGCAUGACAAAUCCAAAGCUAUAUUCAAAGAAUAAAAGUACUCAGAUAGAACCAAAAUACCUGACAGCCAAUUGCGGCAUUCAGUGUGAACUAUUGAAACCAAUUCCUGAAGAGACAAAUGAAGACAGAGCACGUCGAGUACAAAAGGAACACUUUUAUCCAGUAUCUUUUUGAUUGAAAACCUAUACAAUUCGCCUGCAUUUCAAGGAACAGUCUUUCAAGCUACAAAAUAAGGUUUUGUAGUAGUAAAAACACAUUUUUUGGCUAUUUGAAUUUGUCAACAGGAUAGAGUCUAUAGAAGGUAAUGCCACAAAUGGCUAUUUUACACUAGUAUAUGUUGGCAGCAAUACAUUUUAUUUCUGUGUCCAACUUU